rnacentral:rRNA from 1 species
GCUCAGGAUGAACGCUAGCUACAGGCUUAACACAUGCAAGUCGAGGGGCAUCAGGAAGAAAGCUUGCUUUCUUUGCUGGCGACCGGCGCACGGGUGAGUAACACGUAUCCAACCUGCCCUUUACUCGGGGAUAGCCUUUCGAAAGAAAGAUUAAUACCCGAUAGCAUAAUGAUUCCGCAUGGUUUCAUUAUUAAAGGAUUCCGGUAAAGGAUGGGGAUGCGUUCCAUUAGGUUGUUGGUGAGGUAACGGCCCACCAAGCCUUCGAUGGAUAGGGGUUCUGAGAGGAAGGUCCCCCACAUUGGAACUGAGACACGGUCCAAACUCCUACGGGAGGCAGCAGUGAGGAAUAUUGGUCAAUGGGCGCUAGCCUGAACCGGCCAAGUAGCGUGAAGGAUGAAGGCUCUAUGGGUCGUAAACUUCUUUUAUAUAAGAAUAAAGUGCGGUAUGUAUACUGUUUUGUAUGUAUUAUAUGAAUAAGGAUCGGCUAACUCCGUGCCAGCAGCCGCGGUAAUACGGAGGAUCCGAGCGUUAUCCGGAUUUAUUGGGUUUAAAGGGAGCGUAGGUGGACUGGUAAGUCAGUUGUGAAAGUUUGCGGCUCAACCGUAAAAUUGCAGUUGAUACUGUCAGUCUUGAGUACAGUAGAGGUGGGCGGAAUUCGUGGUGUAGCGGUGAAAUGCUUAGAUAUCACGAAGAACUCCGAUUGCGAAGGCAGCUCACUGGACUGCAACUGACACUGAUGCUCGAAAGUGUGGGUAUCAAACAGGAUUAGACACCCUGGUAGUCCACACAGUAAACGAUGAAUACUCGCUGUUUGCGAUAUACAGUAAGCGGCCAAGCGAAAGCAUUAAGUAUUCCACCUGGGGAGUACGCCGGCAACGGUGAAACUCAAAGGAAUUGACGGGGGCCCGCACAAGCGGAGGAACAUGUGGUUUAAUUCGAUGAUACGCGAGGAACCUUACCCGGGCUUAAAUUGCAGUGGAAUGAUGUGGAAACAUGUCAGUGAGCAAUCACCGCUGUGAAGGUGCUGCAUGGUUGUCGUCAGCUCGUGCCGUGAGGUGUCGGCUUAAGUGCCAUAACGAGCGCAACCCUUAUCUUUAGUUACUAACAGGUUAUGCUGAGGACUCUAGAGAGACUGCCGUCGUAAGAUGUGAGGAAGGUGGGGAUGACGUCAAAUCAGCACGGCCCUUACGUCCGGGGCUACACACGUGUUACAAUGGGGGGUACAGAAGGCAGCUAGCGGGUGACCGUAUGCUAAUCCCAAAAUCCUCUCUCAGUUCGGAUCGAAGUCUGCAACCCGACUUCGUGAAGCUGGAUUCGCUAGUAAUCGCGCAUCAGCCACGGCGCGGUGAAUACGUUCCCGGGCCUUGUACACACCGCCCGUCAAGCCAUGGGAGCCGGGGGUACCUGAAGUACGUAACCGCAAGGAUCGUCCUAGGGUAA